rnacentral:rRNA from 1 species
CCUACGGGAGGCAGCAGUGGGGAAUAUUGGACAAUGGGCGAAAGCCUGAUCCAGCAAUGCCGCGUGAGUGAUGAAGGCCUUCGGGUCGUAAAGCUCUUUUACCAGGGAUGAUAAUGACAGUACCUGGAGAAUAAGCUCCGGCUAACUCCGUGCCAGCAGCCGCGGUAAUACGGAGGGAGCUAGCGUUGUUCGGAAUUACUGGGCGUAAAGAGUACGUAGGCGGUUAUUCAAGUCAGAGGUGAAAGCCCGGGGCUCAACCCCGGAACUGCCUUUGAAACUAGAUAACUAGAGUCUUGGAGAGGUUAGUGGAAUUCCGAGUGUAGAGGUGAAAUUCGUAGAUAUUCGGAAGAACACCAGUGGCGAAGGCGACUAACUGGACAAGUACUGACGCUGAGGUACGAAAGCGUGGGGAGCAAACAGGAUUAGAUACCCUGGUAGUCCACGCCGUAAACGAUGAUAACUAGUUGUUCGGUCACUUGGUGACUGAGUGACGCAGCUAACGCAUUAAGUUAUCCGCCUGGGGAGUACGGUCGCAAGNUUAAAACCNCAAUGAAUUGACGGCUGAGACGUGCCGACGACGACGACGAGGGAGGUAGG